rnacentral:rRNA from 1 species
AGUGAACGCUGGCGGUAGGCCUAACACAUGCAAGUCGAACGGCAGCGCAGUAAGAUCUUGCUCUUACGGGUGGCGAGUGGCGGACGGGUGAGGCAUACAUCGGAAUCUACUUUUUCGUGGGGGAUAACGUAGGGAAACUUACGCUAAUACCGCAUACGACCUACGGGUUAAAUCAGGGGUUCUUCGGACCUUUCCCGAUUCAAUGAGCCGAUGUCGGAUUAGCUAGUUGGCGAGGUAAAGGCCCACCAAGGCGACGAUCCGUAGCUGGUCUGAGAGGAUGAUCAGCCACACUGGAACUGAGACACGGUCCAGACUCCUACGGGAGGCAGCAGUGGGGAAUAUUGGACAAUGGGCGAAAGCCUGAUCCAGCCAUGCCGCGUGGGUGAAGAAGGCCUUCGGGUUGUAAAGCCCUUUUGUUGGGAAAGAAAAGAAGCAGGUUAAUCCCCCGCUGUUCUGACGGUACCCAAAGAGUAAGCACCGGCUAACUUCGUG